ensembl:lncRNA
GCUGAAUCCGAGCAGAGUACAUGUAAACCCUCUGUAAUCUACUGUUCAUAUUGCUCCCUCUUGUGGUCUUCUGAAGCUUUAUAAAACAUGAAAAGUUGUGUCCACUUUCGAGCUGUGUUUAUAGUUUAUUUCUUUAUAAUUUCAUUUUCGUGUGGGGUUUUUUUUUUUUUUUUUGGUCUGAUUUUCUUUUGUAAUACUGUUCGACAACUUCAAGAAUAGUAUUUUGUUUCCACCCCCAAAAAACGCAGUCUAUAAUUUCCAGGUUAACAGGCACGGACGGGGUUCGAACCCGCGAUCUUCGGUUUACGAGACCGACGCCUUACCACUUGGCCACCGCGCCUGUUUGGCUUUCUUCACGACCUCACACACGCGAUGGAAGGGUGUCUUCCCGGAAAACGCACCCGGAAGCAGAUGAAGUGGCUCACGGCAGAUGGGAUUUCCUUUUUAACCGCUAACUGUAGAGUCAGCAUGAUGAUGUGAAAGUCUCCUGUACAUGUAUGGGACGGAGGAAGGACUGUGUGAUCCUCGAGUAAUGCUUCUUUAACAGAGUCUGAUCUACAGCUGAGCCUCCGUCCUCCUGCUUAGCCAUGCCAUUGGUGGUGGAUGCUGUGUGGGCGCUGUGGAGCAUCGCAGCCGGCGUCUACGACUACUUCCACACCAGUGCCAUGGAGGAGAGGAUCCACACACUGGAGAAUGUCCUCUCCAUUCACCAGUUUGUGAUUGCAGGCCUGUCAGCAGGCCUCAUUCUGCUCAUGACCUACAUACUGUUGAGAAAACACUAAAACCGUCCUCACCUGAAGGACAAGCACCCACUAGAGGUUCUUUGCCUGAAGGAUGACAUGUUUGGUGACAGUCAAGAUGUCCCAGAUGAAGUCGGGAGGACUGAUGGGCUUCUAAGUCUGACCAACAAAGCUCCACCAGGACAUGCUUUCUGAAACCUGGUGCACUUUGGGUAGUGGCUGCUUAGUUGGUUUGUCUGUUUGCUGCUUUGUUUAAAUGUUAAAUUGUCCUGCUAAAAGAAACAUAACAGCUUCUCAAGGCGAAUUUGCACUCUGUUUUCCUAAACAUGAAGGACUUCGCUGUUUAGGAAAAACGCCUGAGAUGGCGUCAUGACCUCAAACACCUCCUCAGAGCGUAAUGAAGGAGUUAAAAUGAAGUUAUUGUCGGUUUUAUGAUUGAUUUUCUGAAAAGGGAAGAAGCCCAGAAUGACUGUGAUCACUGCUACAUUUUUAACACCGUUGUUGAAAAAUCACACCAUAAUUAACUCGAUCGGUUCUUCUUUUGUGCUUCCAAAUGAAUCAUGUUAUUUGUUAAGACAAAUAAUCUGAGAUGCAUCCAAACUGCCUGUUAAUCUUUACAUCUUCUAGCUCCAUCUUCAUGACUUAUAAAUGGUGGCAAUGUCUGAAUGAGACACAUGAUGUUGCGGACUAAUUAGGGGGUCCUUCUCAUACCUGAUUUGUCUGAUUUCUCAGCCUGAUCCGAGCCAGAAUUACACGUGUGAGACCUCAGGUGCACCACGCAGUUUAGGAGAUGGUGUCAGUGGUUUGUUCAGUGUCUCAUGUCAGAAUACUUUUUUGUAGAUAAUUUGACUGUUACAGGGAGUCUAUGGUCAAAAUCAGCCGCGGAAAGCACACAGGAAGAGAAGGAAACUAAGUCUUUUGCUAUAUAGUCACCAGUGAAGGGAUUACCCAUCGCUAAUAAUGUUGUGACAGUAAAGUGGACUUAUUCUGCUUAUGCAAAGUUACUCUAAUUGAAUAGCUUUGCAUGAUUCACAGCUCAACAUACGCUCUGAUCCAACCCUGAAGUUCAUCUUCUGUCUGAAAUGAGAUGUUUUAGCCCCUCCCCUUUUAACCCAACUUUCUUUUCAGUCUCAGUCACACAAACUGGCCACCAACCACCUGGCAACCUCCAGACGUUGGGGAAAAAUGUAUAUUUCCUGAAUUCAUUGGGUUACCUCAGGUUGAUGGCUGUUGUCAGUUGAAAUCAGUUGCAAAGAAACCCUGUCGAGAUUGGUCACUAGCUGCAGACGAGGAAGACUAAAAGCACAACUUUUAGUUUGGAGGCAACGGCCUCUGUUACUGGUUUCUGUUUCAUUAUUUCACUAACCAAAGUAAAUGUGGACAGAGGAACAGUAACGUCAGCCUGGGUUUUGACUUUCAUUGACUUUAUGCCAUUUUUAAUUUUUAAAUUGAUUCAGUGGGACAGAAAUGCCAAAAAUAUGAUGUCUGGGUCUGCUAAGCUUGAUGGGAAUGUGGUCGUACUAGAAUCUACCCCAUCUCUGAGACUGGUUCCAACAUGCACAGUCACUUCACGGUGUUUGCUGUAAAAGAUUAUAAUCGGAGAUUUUAAAAAAUGCUCGCGGCAACUGUGGUUUGUAAUUACCCUGAUUCCACUAACACACCUGGACUUAGAGGAUAAACUCAAAAAACGCUUCAGACGCUGGGAAAUGAAUUCAUCCUGUAUGUGGUUUAUUUAUUUUUCACACCAAAGGGAAAUGAUUGGUGUAGGAUGGAGGUUAAAGUGUGUAUUUAAUGUGGAAAAGGGAGAUUGUGUGUUUAAUCUGUUUGUUUACAUUUUUACUAAUGUGUGUGUGUGUGUGUGUGUUACGAUUUAACCGAUCAUUGGUGGCUCACUCACUGCUGUACCUGCUCACACUCUGGGCUUCAUUGUCAGUGUACUGUAUACACUACUGUGUGUUCUACCCAGCAGAACCUCUGCCGCAACUGCUAUUAAAAGGGAAUAUGUUUGAAUACUGAUCAGAAUUUAAGUCCAGACUUUGUUGUGUUUUAUUCAUAAUUUGUGUUUUCUGAUUGACGUUUUUUGUCUCUCUUCCUCUUUUCUUUUGUCCUCUCACCUCCCUGCUCCUUCAGCCUGGCUCUGUAAGAGUUCUUUUCCUGUUGAAAGGGAGCUCUUCCUCCCUGCCAUUGCCAAUUGUUUUGAGAUAGGGGAUCAUCUCAUGGUUGGGAUUCUUUUUCUAAUAUUGUAAAGGAUUUUUCCUGUGAAGACUGCUUUGGUAGUAUGGGGUAUUAGCCCUGUUGUCACGUGUUCUUCCGUCCUUGUACAACCACAGUGGAAGCACAGUUCACAUUUCCAGCGAUAAGUCAAAUUAGGCCAGUGCGACUGGAACUUUUAUGGAAAAACAUUU